rnacentral:rRNA from 1 species
UACGGGGGGAGCAAGCGUUGUUCGGAUUUACUGGGCGUAAAGGGCGCGUAGGCGGCCACCGCAAGUCGACUGUGGAAAUCUCCGGGCUUAACCCGGAAGGUCAGCCGAUACUGCGGGGCUAGAGUGCAGAAGGGGCAACUGGGAAUUCUCGGUGUAGCGGUGAAAUGCGUAGAUAUCGAGAGGAACACCUGCGGCGAAGGCGGGUGCUGGGCUGACACUGACGCUGAGGCGCGAAAGCUAGGGGAGCGAACGGG